rnacentral:lncRNA from 1 species
UAGAGCCCAAAUAUGUCCGGGCCCAAACAAAUAAAUGAGCUCGCAUACAGUUCAAACCCAACAAAUAAGUAGCCCAAAACAACCCUGGCCCAAAGCAAAACAAAAAACAAAAAAGAACCCUAGCCCUAAACAGCAAGGAGCGCCGCAGCAAGCCUUCAAGCGCGCCCAGCAGCCCCGCGUCGCGCCCAAGGCCUCCAGCAAGAGUCCAGUCACCGCAGGACUCGGAGAUCGACCCCUCUCCAUGCACGUUUGCUCCCCACAACACC